AUUGAACGCUGGCGGCAUGCCUAACACAUGCAAGUCGAACGGGGCAGCAAUGCCUAGUGGCGGACGGGUGAGGAAUACGUAGGAAUCUGCCCUUAAGUGGGGGAUAACCAGGGGAAACCCUGACUAAUACCGCAUGAUCUCUUCGGAGCAAAGAGGGAGACCGCAAGGCCUCUCGCUUCUGGAUGAGCCUACGUCUGAGUAGCUAGUUGGGAGGGUAAAGGCCUACCAAGGCGACGAUCAGUAACUGGUCUGAGAGGAUGAUCAGUCACACCGGAACUGAGGCACGGUCCGGACUCCUACGGGAGGCAGCAGUGGGGAAUAUUGGACAAUGGGCGCAAGCCUGAUCCAGCAAUGCCGCGUGUGUGAAGAAGGCCUUCGGGUUGUAAAGCACUUUAGCCUGGAAAGAAAAAACUUUGGUUAACACCCAAAGUCCUGACGGUACCAGGAGAAUAAGCACCGGCUAACUCUGUGCCAGCAGCCGCAGUAACAC
rnacentral:rRNA from 1 species